CCUACGGGAGGCUGCAGUGGGGAAUAUUGGACAAUGGGCGAAAGCCUGAUCCAGCCAUGCCGCGUGUGUGAAGAAGGCCUUCGGGUUGUAAAGCACUUUCAGUGGGGAAGAAAGCCUUGGGGCUAAUACCCUCGAGGAAGGACAUCACCCACAGAAGAAGCACCGGCUAACUCCGUGCCAAGCAGCCGCGGUAAUACGGAGGGUGCGAGCGUUAAUCGGAAUUACUGGGCGUAAAGCGCGCGUAGGCGGUCUGAUAAGCCGGUUGUGAAAGCCCCGGGCUCAACCUGGGAACGGCAUCCGGAACUGUCAGGCUAGAGUGCAGGAGAGGAAGGUAGAAUUCCCGGUGUAGCGGUGAAAUGCGUAGAGAUCGGGAGGAAUACCAGUGGCGAAGGCGGCCUUCUGGACUGACACUGACGCUGAGGUGCGAAAGCGUGGGUAGCAAACAGGAUUAGAUACCCCGGUAGUC
rnacentral:rRNA from 1 species